GGAUGGAUACCCAAGUUAGGUUAAAGGGGGCUGACUGUAAAUCAGUUGCUUUGGCUUCGGAGGUUCAAAUCCUUCUCCGUCCACCA
rnacentral:tRNA from 1 species